rnacentral:tRNA from 1 species
GAGGGUAUAGCUCAGUGGGAGAGCACAUGCUUAGCAUGCACGAGGUCCUGGGUUCAAUUUCCAGUACCUCCA